rnacentral:rRNA from 1 species
UGUAAGCGUAUACCAAAGUUGUUGCAGUUAAAACGCUCGUAGUCGGAAUUUGGCAGUUCCGGAUGUGUGCACGUCGUGUGCGCACUUCGCGGGGAUUGCUUUUGUGGUCUUGCGUAGGAUGAGGCACUUUUAUUAGUGAACGUCCUCACGCAACCACUUUUUACUGUGAGAAAAUCAGAGUGCUCAAAGCAGGCAUUUGCCGUGAAUGUAUUAGCAUGGAAUAAUAGAAUAGGACUUGGUUCUAUUUUGUUGGUUUGUUGGGACUGAGUAAUGAUUAAGAGGGACAGUUGGGGGCAUUUGUAUUUCGGUGCUAGAGGUGAAAUUCUUAGAUUACCGAAAGACAAACCGCUGCGAAAGCGUCUGCCAGGGAUGUUUUCAUUGA